AUGCGGAUUCGCAUGCAAAUAGCCACUCCACGUGGCUCCGUGCGAUUCCAGCUUUCGUCCCUCUCCCAAAGCCGUCGGAUCACGGAUAAACGGUUAGAGAUCGCUGCGGUGGACCUAGUUGUAAUAUGCAAAGUUUGAGGGUCAUCUUAGAAACAAAACGCUCAAUCCCCAUCCACCGCAACACUGCCGCACAUCCUCCUACUCUCUCAUCUCCCACUCCUCGUCGCUAGAUGGGGCGAGGAUCUCAGUGGUGGCGACGAGCUACGCCGCCGCUGCCGUAUUUCUCCUCGAGCGGCGGCUGCGCUCCCUUCCACCACCGCAGCCGCCGACUUCCGCUGGGGACCAAACCCUAGUCGCGCGGAGACCCGCGCUUCGUCUCUUCUGGGAGUUCCGGCGAGUCCUUGUCGAUGAAGAAGGACGAUGACUAUGGCUCGGUCACAAUCUUCCACGACGCGCGCUCGCCCGAGCACGUCUUCCAGGACUUCUGUCGCCGCUGCGCUGGCAUCAUCAAGGCCCUCACCACCGUUGUUGUGCAGACGUGGGAAAGCUCUACAAGCUGAAGUUGUGCGACCAUGGGAAAUUCGUUCAUUCACUGUAAGUAUCAAGGGAUAAAGAUUGUGCAUCCGCACAAUGAGCUGUAUCACGGAUGCUGUAAUGAAAUGGUUCGAUGGGAACAUAGCAUCAACCCUGAAAUCUUUAUCAAUGCAUACGAUUGCUAUGUCAAUAUGACGUGUUAGAUUUAUUUUGAUCCCAAAAUGGACGCCAGGAUUGCUGAGAUGGAUCCAAUGGAUGAUAAUGAGGAUGGUUUCACCGAGUUGGUAUGGCAGGAUAUGUUGAUAGACAACUUCUAUGAAAACGAUGUGAUUCUUCUUUGUGCCUGAAUGUUCGUUUAUGUAUUUAUAUUUGUUGUCCUUUGUUAUCAGCUUUUUAAAAUGGAAGUGUACUUACCAUUUUGGCAGUGUACUUACCAUUUUGGAACAUUUUAAAGAACACCUGAUAUUGGUGAGUAUUUUCAAAACGAAAUGAAUCACCCGUUCAA